rnacentral:rRNA from 1 species
UAAUACGAAGGAUCCAAGCGUUGUCCGGAUUUACUGGGUUUAAAGGGUGCGUAGGCGGACUAAUAAGUCAGUGGUGAAAGCCGGUAGCUUAACUAUCGAACUGCCAUUGAAACUGCUAGUCUCGAGUACGGUUGAGGUGGCUGGAAUGUAUCAUGUAGCGGUGAAAUGCUUAGAUAUGAUACAGAACACCAAUUGCGAAGGCAAGUCACUAAACCGUAACUGACGCUGAGGCACGAAAGCGUGGGGAGCAAACAGGAUUAGAUACCCUGGUAGUCCACGCCCUAAACGUUGAUAACUCGCUGUUGGCGAUACACAGUCAGCGGCUAAGCGAAAGCGGUAAGUUAUCCACCUGGGGAGUACGGUCGCAAGAUUG